AGUGCCACCUCAGCAUGCUUCACUUCAGACUGUGUCCAGAGACUUCAGGUAUGGAAUGUCAACCCUUCAGCCUCAUUACUCGGCCACCAGGUUCCAGAUGCUAACAGGAUGAAGACCAGACUUCCCUGGACAGAUGACCCCACCAGUGUGUCCUGGAUCUCCGCUUCCCCAGAGACCCACCCUACUAGGGAAAGAGAGAGGCAGACUGGGAGUAUGGGUCGACCAGUCAAUACCCAUGUUCAUCAGGAAAGCAAUUACAGAAACCAGACCUUCCACCUUCUGCAACCCACAAUGACCUUGGGUCCAUACUCCCAGAGGGAUAAAUAAUAGGAAAGCUAUCAGGGGAGGGGGUGGGAUAUAGAGAACUGGUGGUGGAAAUUGUGUGGAGUAUUACCCCUCCUAUCCUAUGGUUUUUUUAAUGUCUCCUUUUAAAAAUAAAUAAAUUAAUUAAGUUUUU